CAAGCACCAAGGUAUCAAGCUUUGCAACACACAAGAGAAUCCACCCUUAUGCUAUGCCCUAAUUUUAGUUUUGGAGCUCUCACUCACAAGAGGAGUGUUCUUACAAUCAAACACAAACUAAGUAAAUAAAACCUACAUUGUUCUAUAUAUAAAACAUUACAAACAAAUAGAGAAAUAAAAAAAGAUUCCUCCCAUAAAUGGGCUCUAAAAAAAACCCUUAAGUGUACCAAAAGGAUGGUUUUGGGACUCCUUUACACUUGGGCUUAUGUACUCCUUUAAGUGGUCUUCAAAAAAUUCUAAAAAAGUGUCCAUGUUCAUGAUCAUAAUUGUAUCAUCCUCUCCAUCUUGAGAGGAAUUUUCCCAUAAAUUCAUGACCUCACCUCUUUUAGAGAGGUAUCUUACACGACCCCUUACACGCCACGUUUCUUCUACUUUCUUCUCAAUUUGAAUCCCAACCUCUUCAUGCUCUCCAUCUUGAGGCUUGCUAUCAACCUUAGCCGAUUCAAUCACCACUUCCUCUCCUAGGUAGUAUAACUUCCUCUCCCUUAGGAUCACAUUCCUCUGAUUUAGACACUCACUAGCCUUGUGCCCCCACCCUUAACACUUGAAGCAUUGAAACCCCUUAGCAUUGGAAGUAGAAUUAAAUUUACCUUCAUACCUUGGAGGAUUUUUUGGACAGCCUUAGGGAUCUUGGGUUGGGCAGCCACGAAAAAGUUCUCUUUGAGCUCUCUCUCCACCUCUAAAGCCACUUGGAAGAUGUCCUCUAUGGUGUCGAAUUUAUGAAGCAUUAUGCGAGUGGAGAUGUCCUUGUUUAAACCAACCUUGAAGCACACAAUGUCAAGAAUUACUUGCUCUACCCGGUGGUCAAGUUUCAAUAUCAAUUGUUGAAAUUCAUCAUAGCAAGCCAUGACACUUUUUCUCCCUUGCCUCAAAUUAUAUAAUUUGGCAAGGAACUCAUGCCUAUAAGUCUCAGGAAAGUACCUUUACCGCAUAAGGAUCUUCAACCAAAAUCAAGGAGGAGGUUGUCCCCUGAUCACCUCAUUCCCGAACCGCUUAACAUACUCCUACCACGUAUUAGCAUACCCCUUAAAAUGAGCUAUCGCAUAGCAACUCUUAUUUUCCUCGGUAAGGUCAUUGAGUUGGAAUAUAUUGUCACACGAAUAUUCCCAAGAAAUAUACGCUUCAGUAUAACUCUCACCCUUGAAAAUUGGAAGACUAACUUUGAUGGAGUUUAUGCCCAAGUCUUGGUUUUGGUGUCUUUCCCUCACCUCUCGGCCUAGCUCACCAUGUCUACCCCUCAUUCUUUCUUCCAUCAAGUAAGAAUUACCAUAGACUUCAUAACCUUCAUUUCUUUUUUCCCCACCAUAUCCUUCCACACGAUUUGGUUGGUUUGGGUUAGGUUGGUUUGGAUUGGGUGGAAAAUAAGUUCUUUGGUCUAAUGGAGCUUGAAUUAGAAUGUGAGGCCUUUGGUUAAGUGAAGAGAUCAGGUUUGGUGUUGGUAUGUGGGUUGCAAAUGCUUCUUGUUGGACUUAGUGAAGUAGAGGGUAGGUUGGUCUAUCAAACUCUCGACUUUGGGAAGCAUUUGGUAGUUGUCUCGGUGGAUUAAUCAUUUGGUGUAACAUUUCGGGGGAAAUGGUAGGAAAUUUUUUUGAUCAUGUCCACUCGAGGACACAUGAUAGUGUUGAGGAGUAGAGGGGUGGCUCCUUUGGAUUUCCACUCGUUCCGAUCUCCCACUCAUAGUAGAUACAUCCCCUUUCAAUGAUGUUACAUCCGUUUCUAACUUCCCAAGACUCACUUGCAUUCUUUCCAAAGUGUGGUUGAGGCCUUCAAUAGAAUCCAUGAGGAUAUUGGUAUCAUUGUUGCCCACGGUUUGGGAGGGUUUUCCCUCCAUUUCAAUGUACCUAAGAAAAACACCUUCAAAACAAUAAACGAAUUAUUUGUAAAAUAAAGGUCCUCACACUCUCUCGUUAGUUUUUUUUCGCCUCUCGGGUUUCUUAACUCAAUCACACAAGUGUGGAAAGCUUGAUUAUAUUCCAUAAUUAGAAGGUGAAUCAAACCUCUACAACGACUCAAGGAAAUAAUAACAAAAAGACACACGAAGGAUCGUACACAUGAAGAACGGCUACAAAACUAACUUACAAUCUAGUACUAGCUUGUAAGUUAGUAAUGGAAUCAAAAAAAUGAAACUAGAACAUCAUAUUUUGAGCUUAAAAUGUCGUGUGAAUAGUGAUUUGAUGACGUGGAAGUACACUACUAGCCUUGGGUUUGUCAAAAAUUUACUUGCCCAUUUCAAGUCUUGACCAUUCACAAUUUGGACUUGGUGGAUUUGGUUAAUGGAGGAAAUUAUAGUCUUGGAGCUUCUUUUUCAAAUUAAAAAUAAGACUUGGACUUUCUUGUAUUCCUCCUUAUAACAUGGGUCUUUGAAUCAUGGAAAGUUGUUGGUAAAUGGUUGUUAAAGUCUUUGAAGUGAUGUGAACAAGACUUUCACCAACAAGUACUACAAAUUUAUCUUUCACCUUUUUAGAUCUAUUUUGCAAUUUAAAGCUUAACAAAAUGAUGAAUGUGGUGAAGAAAUCCAAGAACACAACAAAAACAUCGAGAACAUCCAACAACAAUUCUCCAAGAACUCAACAAGUCCACAACAACAAGGCCAAGGCUAGAACAACAACACCAACCACAGCCACCCCUUGUUCACAUCAACAACUUCAACAAAUUUAAGUUCAAGCUUAGAUUUGGACACUUUUAGUGUUGGUGAGAAAGAAAUCAACAUUUGAAACACUAUAAACAAACAAAUUACUACCAAUAUCUAGACACACAAACAAAAAUCUCGGCCAAGAACAAGAUGGAUAGAUUUCAACUUUUUUGGAAUUUUUGUUUUCAGUUUUCACUUCUUUUUUUUAUUUUCUAAGUAACAAACCAAAGAUUUACUUCGUAGGAACAAAAUAAACUCGGAUCUGAUACCAAAUGAUACAAGGAUGACCAAGAAAAUAAGAAAACAUACACCAAAACAGUCCACAAGUUGAGGAAACCCGAAACUAUUUUAGUGACCACUCUCGGAUUCGCUACUUAUAACACGGAUAGAGAGAACAACGAGUGUUAACACCUCAAAACAUCCAACCAACAAGUUAUAUUAGCACAAUAAAAUGAAGAACAACAAGGCUACAACAACUAGAACCUAUGGCUUUUACAACAAUACAAGGGAAACCCGAAACUAGAACAAGAAACAAAGAUAGAUAGUUAGACACAAUGAAGUUGUAAUCUUAAGAACCAAAGAAUGGUAACUCUUGGACCCUUAAUACCACACUCAACACGCACCUAACUCUUACAAUGACACAAGAGGGUGUCCACCUCUCAAGCACCAAGGUAUCAAGCUUUGCAACACACAAGAGUAUCCACCCUUAUGCUAUGCCCUGAUUUCGGUUUUGGAGCUCUCUCUCACAAGAGGAGUGUUCUUACAAUCAAACAUAAACUAAGUAAAUAAAACCUACAUUGUUCUAUUUAUACAACAUUACAAACAAAUAGAGAAAUGACAAAGGAGCCCAUACAAAAGAGCCCUCCUAUAAAUGUGCUCCAAAAACCCCCUUAAGUGUACCAAAAGGAUGGCUUUGGGCCUCGUUUACACUUGGUCUUGUGCACUCGUUUAAGUGGUCUUCAAAAAAUGCUCAAAAAGUGUCCAUGGUCAUGACCAUACUUGUAUCAUGGAGAAAGACAUUCAUUUAGUUAUGAUUGGAUUUCCCUCUUUGUUUGUGAAGAACGUAAUUGGGAGAUUUUAGCUAAUAAUCAACUUUCUUCAUUAAACCAUUUAGGUCCUUUUUCCCUUUGACAUUCUUGACAAUAAUGUACGGUGUUAGAUGAAGAUAGAGCAAGGUUCUAAGAAGAGACUUCCAUCAAUUUGAUGCUUAAACUGCUUGUCAGAUAACAUGAUAAAGUAUUGAUUCUCAUUGAGUCUUGCUUGGAUUACCAGUCAUUCUA
rnacentral:lncRNA from 1 species